rnacentral:rRNA from 1 species
UACGGAGGGUGCGAGCGUUGUCCGGAAUCAUUGGGCGUAAAGCGCGCGUAGGCGGCCAGAUAAGUCCGGUGUGAAAGUCACAGGCUCAACCUGUGAAUGCCGCUGGAAACUGUCUGGCUAGAGUCCGGAAGGGGCGAGUGGAAUCCGCGUGUAGCAGUGAAAUGCGUAGAGAUGCGGAGGAACACCGAUGGCGAAGGCAGCCCCCUGGGCCGACAUUGACGCUCAGGCACGAAAGCGUGGGGAGCAAACAGG